GACUAUUUUUGGCCAUUAUUUUUCCAUCUACCAGAAAAUUCCACUGUAUAAAGAAUAAUACUUUUGCGAGUGAAAGUGCAAUAAAAAAGUUUCGGACCUGAAAAAUAAAAAAACGGUUUGGUAUUCGUAACAUAGGCACUCCUGUUUCAGGGACGAAACCAAGCUGAGAACUGUUUGCAAUUUAAUUGCAAAUUGCAGAUAAUAGUUAUAAGACUAUAAUUUGCGAUGAUUAUUUAAAUAUAAAUUAACUUUAAUGUUAGUAUUAGCCGAGCCAGUUCACCGGUUACACAAAUUAUUGCCGUCACGGAAUAUCAGCUGCUUAUCAGACUUAACCUCAAAUAAAUGUUGUUAAGUGAAGAUAGAGGAAAAGAAUAAUACAAUAAUGAUUUAAUUAUUCUAACUUAAUGGAUCAAAUGGAUACUUUGGCAAAGCAAAAAACAGUGCUCAACAAUGAAAUGCCAAAUAUUUUAUAAAAUAGAAAUACUUCUUAGAAAAUCAAAUUACAAACUUUUAGAUAGUAUGGGAAAUUCACAAUAGGAUCACCAAAUUGGCAACACAAGCUUGGAAUAUCCAAGUACAUUGCAAAUAAAAUAAAAGCCAUCUGGGUCUGCAGAAGUUAGGCUGGUAUUGAAAGAUGCAUAAAAAACAGUGCAGAGAUGAGAAUACAUUUAAGUGUCACACAUUGUCUGCCCGUCAUCACAGGCAGUUGCUACUCUUUGCUAAUAAUGCCAAAAAGUGCAUGACUGAAUUUUCUAAAGAAUGUUGCCAGGUAUUUUUACAAAUUUUCCAACAUCAGUUUGGAACCGAAUGUGUACCAGCUAACUGAGUGUAUCAAGACUGGAGCAUAAUGCAUAAAAAUACAUAAAAGGGGGUUGGAUAGAUGCUUGUGGGAUGAGCACUUCGAAUGACAGCUACAACGAUAAAGAUUUUGAAUCUGAAGACAAAGGUGACAGUAACACUUCGCUGGGUAACUGAAAUUUAAGAAAGUGCUCUGCAGCUGUACUUGACAUGAGAAAUUAAAGCGUCUAAUACUCUUCCACUUGAAUCAUAAUUACUAUGGGAACAAACGUGUUCAAGAGGCCGCAUGCUUAGCAUUCACAAUGUUUGCUUUAGGAAUAUCAGCACAAAAAUCUGUUGAUUCUAUACGAUGAAAUUGGUACACAGAUUAUCUGGAGGACAUCUCAACAAACUAGCAUAGAUUAAUUUAUUUAUGCCUCUCAUUAACAAAUGAAAUAUUGAGUUUUAAAAAACGAGGACUAAGAUCUUUUCCUCUUUUAGAAUAAGUUUGACAUCUGUAACUGCUGCUUUGCAAUCUGGAUUUUUGCCAUAUUUAGAACCUGUUUAUAUAGUGUUUGAAUAGUGUUAAUAAAGCGAGAAGGUUAUAAUGCCUGUUUCUACAAAUGCAAA